rnacentral:tmRNA from 1 species
GGGGGCGACUGGCUUCGACGGGUUUGAUGAAAGGAUCGCUGCGUGCCCAGGUCCAGGUUCCUGGCUAAACCGUCUGGAACGAUUCAACUGCCAACACUGAAUUGGCGAUGGCUGCGUAAGCUGAGCUUCUAGCUCGCUUGUCGCUCCACCUCCGAGGGUAGCCCGCCUGGGGCGAUCCGCGGCGGAACGAAAAUCCGGGCUGGCGGUCGCCGAAGCCCCGACGGCGAUCGCGAGAUCUUCGGGGAUAGAGCCUGGGAAGGCUGGUGCAGCGCCGGUCCAGGUCGACGCGAGAAGAUGCACCUACGCACGUAGGCGCGGUUCUGGAAGCUCACUCGGACGAGGGUUCGAUUCCCUCCGCCUCCAUCC